AGCAGUCGCCACGGGAAUACGGAGGGAGCUAGCGUUGUUCGGAAUUACUGGGCGUAAAGCGCGCGUAGGCGGUUACUCAAGUCAGAGGUGAAAGCCCGGGGCUCAACCCCGGAACUGCCUUUGAAACUAGGUGACUAGAAUCUUGGAGAGGUCAGUGGAAUUCCGAGUGUAGAGGUGAAAUUCGUAGAUAUUCGGAAGAACACCAGUGGCGAAGGCGACUGACUGGACAAGUAUUGACGCUGAGGUGCGAAAGCGUGGGGAGCAAACAGGAUUAGAUACCCCCGUAGUCCCUGUCUCUUAUAC
rnacentral:rRNA from 1 species